rnacentral:lncRNA from 1 species
GAGUCCCUGCUGGAGUCAGAAGUUUUAGGCGAAUCCCAGGCGCGCCAAGGAAAGUGCUACAAAAGCCAUCCAUCUUGCAAGCGUUGGUGCCGAGGCGCAACGCUGAGAACGCAAAUACUAAAGGGCGCUGUUCUUUCCUCGUGGAGCUCACAGUCCGCUGGGGAGACCGUGAGAUGACAGCAGAGAAACUAGCGCGAUCAGUAGUACUCAGCGCAAGGACAGCGAGCAGAGAAGGCAAACCUAGUGCUUGCUAAGGAAGACUUCACAGAGGAGGUAGUGUCAGGGCCGAGACUAGGAGAAGGAUUCUCCAGGCUUCAUACGGUAAAACUCUCUGGGAAGGAAAGGAACUCAGAGUCCCAUGCAGAAAAUUGUUCAGCUGGAGGGGUAUCAGAAAGAUGGAUUUCCAAAGCCAACUGUUUCCUGUAGUGUGUGGAUCUCUGCAAGCAGAGCCUCAUCUUUCAAUUUCAGCUACAUGAAAGAGGAAGAAAGGGAAAGAUAUAUGUCAUACGUGAUAUACUUUAUGUGGCUUUGAAGACCCCUCUUUUGUGGGGCUACGGCUAAAGAACAUAGUUCCCUGGGAUGGAAUUGGCUCUUCCUAUUUCCCUACUUCAUGAAAACUCCAGUAGAAGACCUUAGAACCUUGUCCUGGUUACAUGGAUAUGUUUACUUUGUGAAAAUUCAUCAAGCACUAUGCACGGUCAUGAUUUGUACAUUUUUUUGUAAGAUAACUUCAUUAAAAUUUACUUUUUUUAUUUUUAAAAA